rnacentral:sRNA from 1 species
AGACACGAAACAGGUAUCGACCUCUAAAUC